rnacentral:rRNA from 1 species
GAUGAACGCUGGCGGCGUGCCUAAUACAUGCAAGUCGAGCGAACGGACGAGAAGCUUGCUUCUCUGAUGUUAGCGGCGGACGGGUGAGUAACACGUGGAUAACCUACCUAUAAGACUGGGAUAACUUCGGGAAACCGGAGCUAAUACCGGAUAAUAUUUUGAACCGCAUGGUUCAAAAGUGAAAGACGGUCUUGCUGUCACUUCUAGAUGGAUCCGCGCUGCAUUAGCUAGUUGGUAAGGUAACGGCUUACCAAGGCAACGAUGCAUAGCCGACCUGAGAGGGUGAUCGGCCACACUGGAACUGAGACACGGUCCAGACUCCUACGAGAGGCAGCAGUAGGGAAUCUUCCGCAAUGGGCGAAAGCCUGACGGAGCAACGCCGCGUGAGUGAUGAAGGUCUUCGGAUCGUAAAACUCUGUUAUUAGGGAAGAACAUAUGUGUAAGUAACUGUGCACAUCUUGACGGUACCUAAUCAGAAAGCCACGGCUAACUACGUG